CCGAGCUUAAUCCUGUAAGGCAUUUGACUAUAGAUGUGUCUUGCAUUGAUAAGAAUCUUGAUAUGAGGCUUAUGCUCACUGGUAAAAGGAAAAUAAACACUCUCACAGAGAACGAGCUAAGUAACAUUCAAGGACUACUUAGUUCAGCAAUUGUUGAUCUGAAUGUGAAAGGAAGAUUAAGGUGGCCGCUUGGUACAACAUUCGACGAUGGUUACAAAAUACUUGAAGUUUGUCACGUUAGAGUUACCAUCUACAAGAAGCUUACUUUAGGGCUUAAGGUUAGAGACUGAUGGAUUCAGUGAGAGGGAUAAAACAGGGGAAAUCGCGAAAGGGGUGACUCUUGUACUUAAAGAGAUGAACACUAAGCUACAGGAACAGAACAUAGAGAGGGGUUGUGUUUUGGAAAUGCUCCGAGGUGUUCUUGGAACUAUAUGGGACUUCAUGUGUUGCGAUGGCAGUCUUAUGUAGUAAAGAAAGAACCAUAUGUUUUUUGCCGGUGCUAUGUUAAGUUUCUCUUUUACGUUAUGUUGUGUUUUGGUACUUUGAAGUUCAUGAGUUUUUUUUUUGUUUGGGUUGUGAGGACUAAACGUGUCUUAAUUGAAAUAGAACACAACACAC